UUGCCAUAUAAGAGUGCUAUGAAUAUUCAUAUUUGAAGGAACUUUGUUUGUCCCAAUUCUGGACUGACCAAUCUGAAUUGAUGCUAACAUCCUUUAUUAUGGAACCAUAGAGUAUGCAAUAGGCUUUGUUUGCCAUAUAAGAGUGCUUCAACCUUCCUCUGGUAAUGAGGACCAUAAUUCCUGCUAGGAUUCUAACAACCUCAGCAGCUGAAGCUAUAGCCACUUUUAAAGCAUGCUUGCUUUGCUCUUCCUCUGCUCAUACUACUGCAAUUCAAGGAUAAAAGCACAGCACAUGCACUUUGUUUACAUUAGGGAGCCUCUCUGAAUGAAGAA